AAGGUUUUAAGUUAAAAAAACUAAUAAUCUUCAAAAUUAUUUAUAAAGAAAUAAAUUUAUUCUUUAAGCCUUA
rnacentral:tRNA from 1 species